UGCCAGCCGCCGCGGUAAUACAGAGGGUGCAAACGUUGUUCGGAAUUACUGGGCAUAAAGCGUACGUAGGCGGCUUUGUAAGUGUGAGGUGAAAUCCCACGGCUCACCCGUGGAACUGCUUUGCAUACUGCAAUGCUAGAGGACGGUAGGGGAGAGCGGAACUCCUGGUGGAGCGGUGAAAUGCGUAGAUAUCAGGAGGAACACCGAUGGCGAAGGCAGCUCUCUGGUCCGUUUCUGACGCUGAGGUACGAAAGCUAGGGUAGCGAACAGGAUUAGAUA
rnacentral:rRNA from 1 species